UACGGAGGGUCCAAGCGUUAUCCGGAAUCAUUGGGUUUAAAGGGUCCGUAGGCGGUUUUGUAAGUCAGUGGUGAAAGCCCAACGCUCAACGGUGGAACGGCCAUUGAUACUGCAAGACUUGAAUUAUUGUGAAGUAACUAGAAUAUGUAGUGUAGCGGUGAAAUGCUUAGAGAUUACAUGGAAUACCAAUUGCGAAGGCAGGUUACUAACAAUAUAUUGACGCUGAUGGACGAAAGCGUGGGUAGCGAACAGG
rnacentral:rRNA from 1 species